AGUGAACGCUGGCGGUAGGCCUAACACAUGCAAGUCGAACGGCAGCACAGAGGAGCUUGCUCCUUGGGUGGCGAGUGGCGGACGGGUGAGGAAUACAUCGGAAUCUACUCUGUCGUGGGGGAUAACGUAGGGAAACUUACGCUAAUACCGCAUACGACCUACGGGUGAAAGCAGGGGAUCUUCGGACCUUGCGCGAUUGAAUGAGCCGAUGUCGGAUUAGCUAGUUGGCGGGGUAAAGGCCCACCAAGGCGACGAUCCGUAGCUGGUCGGUGGGGAGGAUCAGCCACACUGGAACUGAGACACGGUCCAGACCCCUACGGGAGUGAGCAGUGGGGAAUAUUGGACAAUGGGCGCAAGCCUGAUCCAGCCAUACCGCGUGGGUGAAGAAGGCCUUCGGGUUGUAAAGCCCUUUUGUUGGGAAAGAAAUCCAUCUGGUUAAUACCCGGGUGGGAUGACGGUACCCAAAGAAUAAGCACCGGCUAACUUCGUGCCAGCCGCCGCGGUAA
rnacentral:rRNA from 1 species